GAUGAACGCUGGCGGCGUGCCUAAUACAUGCAAGUCGAGCGAACGGACGAGAAGCUUGCUUCUCUGAUGUUAGCGGCGGACGGGUGAGUAACACGUGGAUAACCUACCUAUAAGACUGGGAUAACUUCGGGAAACCGGAGCUAAUACCGGAUAAUAUUUUGAACCGCAUGGUUCAAAAGUGAAAGACGGUCUUGCUGUCACUUUUAGAUGGAUCCGCGCUGCAUUAGCUAGUUGGUAAGGUAACGGCUUACCAAGGCAACGAUGCAUAGCCGACCUGAGGGGGUGAUCGGCCACACUGGAACUGAGACACGGUCCAGACUCCUACGGGAGGCAGCAGUAGGGAAUCUUCCGCAAUGGGCGAAAGCCUGACGGAGCAACGCCGCGUGAGUGAUGAAGGUCUUCGGAUCGUAAAACUCUGUUAUUAGGGAAGAACAUAUGUGUAAGUAACUGUGCACAUCUUGACGGUACCUAAUCAGAAAGCCACGGCUAACUACGUG
rnacentral:rRNA from 1 species